rnacentral:rRNA from 1 species
AGAGUUUGAUCCUGGCUCAGAAUCAACGCUGGCGGCGUGCCUAACACAUGCAAGUCGAACGAGAAAGGGUAGCAAUACCUGAGUAAAGUGGCGCACGGGUGAGUAACACGUGACUAACCUACCCUGGAGUGGGGGAUAACUGAGGGAAACCUUAGCUAAUACCGCAUAACACCUACGGGUCAAAGGAGUAAUUCGCUUUGGGAGGGGGUCGCGGCCGAUUAGUUAGUUGGCGGGGUAAUGGCCCACCAAGACGAUGAUCGGUAUCCGGCCUGAGAGGGCGCACGGACACACUGGAACUGAAACACGGUCCAGACUCCUACGGGAGGCAGCAGUGGGGAAUCUUGCGCAAUGGGGGAAACCCUGACGCAGCAACGCCGCGUGGAGGAUGAAGUACUUCGGUACGUAAACUCCUUUCGAUCGGGACGAUUAUGACGGUACCG